rnacentral:rRNA from 1 species
UACGGAGGGGGCUAGCGUUGUUCGGAAUUACUGGGCGUAAAGCGCACGUAGGCGGCGAUUUAAGUCAGAGGUGAAAGCCCGGGGCUCAACCCCGGAAUAGCCUUUGAGACUGGAUUGCUAGAAUCUUGGAGAGGCGGGUGGAAUUCCGAGUGUAGAGGUGAAAUUCGUAGAUAUUCGGAAGAACACCAGUGGCGAAGGCGGCCCGCUGGACAAGUAUUGACGCUGAGGUGCGAAAGCGUGGGGGAGCAAACAGG